rnacentral:rRNA from 1 species
GAUGAACGCUAGCUACAGGCUUAACACAUGCAAGUCGAGGGGAAACGACAUCGAAAGCUUGCUUUUGAUGGGCGUCGACCGGCGCACGGGUGAGUAACGCGUAUCCAACCUGCCCACCACUUGGGGAUAACCUUGCGAAAGUAAGACUAAUACCCAAUGAUAUCUCCAGAAGACAUCUGAAAGAGAUUAAAGCUUUAUCGGUGAUGGAUGGGGAUGCGUCUGAUUAGCUUGUUGGCGGGGUAACGGCCCACCAAGGCUACGAUCAGUAGGGGUUCUGAGAGGAAGGUCCCCCACAUUGGAACUGAGACACGGUCCAAACUCCUACGGGAGGCAGCAGUGAGGAAUAUUGGUCAAUGGGCGAGAGCCUGAACCAGCCAAGUAGCGUGCAGGAUGACGGCCCUAUGGGUUGUAAACUGCUUUUAUAAGGGAAUAAAGUGAGCCUCGUGAGGCUUUUUGCAUGUACCUUAUGAAUAAGGACCGGCCAAUUCCGUGCCAGCCGCCGCAGUAA